AUGGAUAAGACAGACUUAGCCAUCUUUAUUUUUGGGCAAAUCAAGGGGAGUUGCUACUAGGCUACAUAAAUCUGUUUCUUUUGUACACUCGAAUAGCAUUUCUGAUCCCAACGGGGUGGAUAUUAUCGUCACUGGACAGAUUUCCAACACUGCUAUCGCCCUAGUAAAUGUUUUUACUCCCAACAAUGACGAUGACGCCUUUUUCAAACGUCUUUUUCUGAAUCUCCCUGACUUGUCAAUGUAUUAUUUAAUACUAGGAGGAGACUUUAAAUGUAAAUGCAGCUUGAUUGCUCUUCACCCAAAACUUGCCUAACAUCAAGGUCCGCUAAGGCAAGUGUUGGGAACUCGCAUGGCUGCCGUUCUUGUGACCCCAAGAUGCAAGAACCAGGAGGACGAUGAGCAGACUGAGACCCUUCCGGGUCCCAAGACCAGACUUGAGGGGGGCCCUAAAGAUUUUUCAGUGUAUGCCCCCUCAGUGGAAAACGUUUGGACCUCAUGCAUUAUACUGUAUAGCUAAAAGAACAACCUUCUUUCACAAGGAUGAAGCCUAUCCCAGCAAACGUCCAUGCAAGAGGCGGAGCACAAGAUGAAAUGAUUGCCUGUCAAUCACAAAGAGACCAAUCUAAUGGACAAUCAAACAGCCCGAUCAGGUUGCAUUGAUUGCAUAUUCAUGUGGUAUGUAUGGGAAUUGCGAUGAUCUGCUGUAAUAGGUUUGUAUAAUCUUCCCAUGAUAUACUGAGUUUGUGUCUACCUGGAAUAAGUCGGCAGAGAGAUCAUGCUGCACUCACGAGGGAAGCCUGGCUUUACUUUUUUGUUGCACAAAGAUCCAUUGUGAGAUCCUUUUACUCUUUCUUUCUAAAGAAUGAAUGUGGGAACUGUCCUGGUCCCACUUUUGAACCUGAUACCACCAUGGGAUAUAAUGUGAGGUCAGGAAUAUUGUUUUACUGUGUUAUUGUGGCAUACAUGUAGCCUACUGUACACAAUCAUCUCCAUCUACUCUCUUGUAGUUCUUAUUUUAAAAACUGGGACUGUAUAUAAUGUUUUCAAAAAUUUUCUUAGCAAAGGCACUGAGAUUAGAAUCUAUAGGACUGCAGUAAGUCUUUAAAGGCCCCCGUAUUUAAAAAGAAUAAAGUCAUGGCAUGAGCCGAAAAAUGCCCCCGGAAAUUAAUUUUGGCCCAAGUUCUCACAGCAUAAACGUGUACAGUUCCAAAGUAAAGUUCCUGUAGUGGAAAAAGUCAUUUAAUGGUUCCUGGGACUUUAAAAAAGAUCCACCCCAUGACAUGGGCCGAAAAAAGGUCCGGAAACAAUGGCUGCGGAACUAAAUUUGGCCCCAGGACCAGCAGUCCAAAUGUUG